rnacentral:rRNA from 1 species
UACAGAGGGUGCAAGCGUUAAUCGGAUUGACUGGGCGUAAAGGGCGUGUAGGCGGUGAAUUAAGUGAUUUGUGAAAUACCUGGGCUCAACCGAGGGGUUGCAGGUCAUACUGGUUCACUUGAGUUUGAGAGAGGGAAGUAGAAUUUCUGGUGUAGCGGUGAAAUGCGUAGAGAUCAGAAAGAAUACCGGUGGCGAAGGCGGCUUCCUGGCUUAGAACUGACGCUGAGGCGCGAAAGCGUGGGUAGCGAACAGG